GACCGCUUGGAGCAACGGUAGCGCAUUCGACUUCAGAUCGUAAGGUUGGGCGUUCGAUCCGCUCAGUAGUCA
rnacentral:tRNA from 1 species